UACGUAGGGGGCAAGCGUUGUCCGGAUUUAUUGGGCGUAAAGAGCGUGUAGGCGGCUUUGCAAGUCCGUUGUGAAAACUCGAGGCUCAACCUCGAGACGCCGGUGGAAACUGCAAAGCUAGAGUCCGGAAGAGGAGAGGUGGGAAUUCCGUGGUGUAGCGGUGAAAUGCGCAGAUAUCAGGAAGAACACCCGUGGCGAAGGCGGCUCUCUGGGACGGUACUGACGCUGAGACGCGAAAGCGUGGG
rnacentral:rRNA from 1 species